CUAACUUUUUGUACGGUUUUGAUCUCUGCAAGUCUGCGCACGCAGCUGAUCGGUGGAUGCACGACUGCACGGCGUCGCAAUGUGGCCUGCGUCAUUUUCUCGUGUUCGCAUAAUCGGUGUGAGACAUGUCGCAUGUGAAAUGUUUGAUAGAAAUGCCUCCCGUCCAAGUGAAGCGGCCGUACGGGCUUCGGAAGCGUCGACCGAUUUCCGGCAUGUGGAUUUCAGAGUUCGGACUCGACUUUUGGUGAGGAUGUCAAUCGACCUUGGGCCUGGUGACUGCACACUGGACAGGCCAAAGUGCAGCCUGUCAGUUGAGUGCCCCCGAAUGGACCAUCAACAUCGGAAAAUGCCAGGGAGAAAAAGUUCCAGUAACGCCAUGCAUUCAGUUUGGUGGCCCCGACGUGUAUGCAAGCGACCUCCUUCAUGUGGACCAAGAAUUACUCUUCAGUGUCUCGCAGACUUCCAUGCGAAGCCCUCAACAUUCUCGUCUCAGUGGAAUGGCUGCUCAUCUAUCAGCGUGUCCAUCAUCAAGACUGCCCGUUGUAAAGCUUCUGAACCCCUUUAAGAAAGCUUAAUGAUGGUUUUAUUUAAUUAUCACAGUUGGCCAUAGAAUCUGAACAAUUUUGAUGAUUCUAACAUUUUUACGUGGCACAAAGCAGUGCUAUAACUUUAAACCAGUGUAAUGUAUUUAAGUGAUGCUCACUGUAAUCCCUAUCUGGUUUUGUUAGUGUUUAAGAAAUUUGAAUGUCUGAUGAGGUAACAGCAUUCCAGUUUGUCAUGGUGGCUCGUUUCAAUGAGCUGCUUGGAAAUAAGACGCAAAACUUACCACACGCCAGUUGUAGCAUUGUCGUUUUCAUGACUACAGUAUACACGUUUCAAAAGAUGAAAAGGGGAAAAAAAGCCUGAAGAACAUAAUCAUCCUAGGAUUGCCAUGUCUUUAGAGCUCUGCAAUGACUAAUGCCUCAUACAUCUUGGGAGCACAUUGGUUGCAAUGCCUACAGGUAUACUUAAUAAGAGAAUAGCUUGCACCCAGAUUUGCCACACAGUUGAUGGUUGAUGGCUUUUUUUUUGUUAUCUUCAUGUUAUUACUAUGUAUUCAAUAUUCAUUUAGAUGUAAAGGACACUCCAGGCACUGAAGUACCAAAUGGCACUUGAAUUUCAGGGGACAAACUGUCCAGCAUGCCUGUCACAAAACGUGUUCUAGGGGCUACCUUGCCUCUAAAGGUAAAUGGACACCAGAUGCUCUGUGUGCAAUGUGAUCGGUGUACUUGCCUGGAGUGCUUGAAAGAUGUGCUACGGGCCGUACUGGCACUGUCUGAAGAUAAUGCAUGGUUCUAGAAAGCCUGCAGCUGAGCAUCUGCCACCGUACUGAAGGAAGUGUCUCGUAAUUUAUUUUGUUGAUGUGGUUGAAAUUUAGAAUCUGCAAUGAGUAGUUCUGACGGUGGUAAUGCUGCCGAACUAAAGCACAAAUUACACACAAUGUACUCUGAAAGUUUUGCUAGGUGGUAUGUUUGCUGCCUGACCUUAUGGCACCUUUACGAGUCGUCGGAGGUGAUUGCAGCUGUUGAGGUUUUAUCAACUGGCAAGGUGAAAAAAAAAUGCUGUGCCACCAGUGUGGCCGCACACUCCGAGAUGCAAGUUAUCUUGAACCAGGUGUUCGAUAGACGGUACCUGUGCAGCCAAAACAUUGUUUGAGCCCUAUAGGCAAAUGCGUUCACAACCGCACACAAGUGUGCUGUCACAGCAGAAAGUUGAGAACAAGCAGCAUUUUUACCGGUGUUUCUUCGAAACAUUAGUGCAAGUCAUUCUUUCACCAAGGCUGGUAAUCAUGCAUAGGUAAUGAGAACAGGGUAUUUGUGACACACAAGGGGUCAUGUGUCUAAAGUUUAAUUAGAUCAGUAAUUUAUGAGAUGGAAUGAUAAAAAGUAUACCUUUUGUUCCUCAGUGGUCUCAUGGAGAGACAUGACCAUUUCCGGCAGUUUAGUUUUUACUUUUUAUGUCUAUAUUUGGUGCGCAUAUUGCAACUGUAACUAACCGUCAGUGCUCUAUCCUGCCCAGUUUCUAUGCUGUCUUUGUGAUAUUUGCAAUAUUUUGCAGUUCAGCUGAGCGAAGUAUAUGUCUUUACUAUUACUAGUUUUCAUGUUCAACUUUUGUGCAGUGCUCACUAGUUAUUACUAGCCAUGUUUUGUUCACAUAUGCUCUUGGAUUGUUGCACGAAGUGACACGGACACAGACUAGAAGCAGACAGGACGCGCGCUAACUCACAACUAAAUUUUUAUUUAAACCAAGAGCAUAUGUAUAUAUAUAGGUGAUUGCAAAAAACUGCAGCAUAAGAACAUGACACGGUAUGAAGACAUCAGUUAAACAUAUCAGGAAGUAGGGAAGUCAUGAAAGGAAACAACAAAAAGACUACUUCAGAUUAACACACGUGUUGUGAAGAUACUGAAAUUCGUAUUCUAACAGUGAAAAAGAUGCACGGCUAACCUGAGUCUCUCCUAAUCUUUUAAUGUGGAAUGCCUCAUUAUUUUCCGUGUGGUUUGGCAUUUGUGUCUUGAAAGAAUUUUUGUCUUCAAACAGGUUUACAACCGCAACUGAAACAUUGUGACGCUAGAUACGAAGCAUUAGAGUUGUUAAGGUAAUGUUUGUGUUCUUUUAGUCUAAUUUAAUACAACUGCCGCUUUGUGCAAUGUAAGUCUUCCCGCACUUGAGAGUAAUCUGAUAAGCUCUACCAAUGUUUCAAGGCACAAAAGGGGACACGUGUCUAACGCCGCAGUCUUUUCUUUUUGCCACCCUGUUCAAGUUUCCUAUUUAUAAUAGGGCACAUGACAGA